rnacentral:rRNA from 1 species
UACGAAGGGGGCUAGCGUUGCUCGGAUUGACUGGGCGUAAAGGGCGCGUAGGCGGUUCGUACAGUCAGACGUGAAAUUCCUGGGCUCAACCUGGGGGCUGCGUUUGGAUACGUGCGGACUUGAGUGCGGAAGAGGGUCGUGGAAUUCCCAGUGUAGAGGUGAAAUUCGUAGAUAUUGGGAAGAACACCGGUGGCGAAGGCGGCGACCUGGUCCGAUACUGACGCUGAGGCGCGAAAGCGUGGGGAGCAAACAGG